GUUUAAAAUGAUUUUUUUUCGGCUCAGCUUGAUCCUCUUAACCAAUUAGCAUGUUCUUACAAUGUUUAUUUAAGAACUCUAAUGAAAUAAUGACAGUGACAGGGUAUUUAACGCUUGAUU